rnacentral:tRNA from 1 species
GCCCGGAUGGCGGAAUUGGUAGACGCGCACGACUCAAAAUCGUGUUCCUUCGGGAGUGAGAGUUCGAUUCUCUCUCUGGGCA